rnacentral:rRNA from 1 species
UGCGGAGGGUGCAAGCGUUGUCCGGAUUUAUUGGGUUUAAAGGGUGCGUAGGUGGCUUAUUAAGUCAGUGUUUAAAGUCUGCAGCUUAACUGUAGGUAUGGCAUUGAUACUGAUAGGCUUGAGUAAAGUUGAGGUAGGCGGAAUUGAAGGUGUAGCGGUGAAAUGCAUAGAUAUCUUCAAGAACACCGAUUGCGAAGGCAGCUUACUAAGCUUUAACUGACACUGAGGCACGAAAGCGUGGGGAGCAAACAGG